GACGAACCGUGCGAACGUUAUUCGGAUUCACUGGGCGUAAAGGGUGCGCAGGCGGCCAAGUGUGUCAGGUGUGAAAUCCCGAGGCUUAACCUCGGAACUGCGCCUGAAACUACUUGGCUAGAGUACUGGAGAGGGUAACGGAAUUCACGGUGUAGCAGUGAAAUGCGUAGAUAUCGGGAGGAACACCAGUGGCGAAGGCGGCUACCUGGACCAGCACUGACACUGAGGCACGAAAGCGUGGGGAGCAAACAGG
rnacentral:rRNA from 1 species